GAUGAAGAACGCAGCGAAAUGCGAUAAGUAAUGUGAAUUGCAGAAUUCAGUGAAUCAUCGAAUCUUUGAACGCACAUUGCGCCCUCUGGUAUUCCGGGGGGCAUGCCUUUUCGAGCGUCAUUAUAACCACUCAAGCUCUCGCUUGGUAUUGGGGUUCGCGGUUUCGCGGCCCCUAAAAUCAGUGGCGGUGCCUGUCGGCUCUACGCGUAGUAAUACUUCUCGCGAUUGAGUUCGAUAGGUCUACUUGCCAGUAACCCCCAAUUUUUACAGGUUGACCUCGGAUCAGGUAGGGAUACCCGCUGAACUUAAGCAUAUCAAUAAGCGGAGGA
rnacentral:misc_RNA from 1 species